AGGUCUGUAGUGGGGCUGUAGAGGUCUGUAGUGGGGCUGUAGAGGUCUGUAGUGGGGCUAUAGAGGGGCUGUAGAGGUCUGUAGUGGGGCUAUAGAGAGG